rnacentral:tRNA from 1 species
UCCCUGGUGGCUCAGUGGUAAAGAAUCUGCCUUUAAGCUGGAGACCCAGGUUCAAUUCCUGGGUUGGGAA